GGGAUUAGUGGCGAACGGGUGAGUAACACGUGGGCAAUCUGCCCUGCACUCUGGGACAAGCCCUGGAAACGGGGUCUAAUACCGGAUACUGACCUGCCGGGGCAUCUCGGUGGUUCGAAAGCUCCGGCGGUGCAGGAUGAGCCCGCGGCCUAUCAGCUUGUUGGUGAGGUAAUGGCUCACCAAGGCGACGACGGGUAGCCGGCCUGAGAGGGCGACCGGCCACACUGGGACUGAGACACGGCCCAGACUCCUACGGGAGGCAGCAGUGGGGAAUAUUGCACAAUGGGCGCAAGCCUGAUGCAGCGACGCCGCGUGAGGGAUGACGGCCUUCGGGUUGUAAACCUCUUUCAGCAGGGAAGAAGCGCAAGUGACGGUACCUGCAGAAGAAGCGCCGGCUAACUACGUGCCAGCAGCCGCGGUAAUACGUAGGGCGCAGCGUUGUCCGGAAAUUAUUGGGGCGUAA
rnacentral:rRNA from 1 species